rnacentral:misc_RNA from 1 species
UGCGCUUCCUGUCUCCAGUU